AAGGCAGAUGUGAAAUGUAAAAGUGAGGUCAGAGGUCAAACAAAUGAUAUUUUAAAUCUUUAUACAGUAUUUUCUAUAUGUUGACAAGACACAGCACCUUUGUAAGAAUCAUAGUUUCUGUGUUAUAAGGAUUUUUAUUGAGUCAUAAAGUUGACCUUGAAGACCUCGGUGGAUGUAAGCCAAAUGUUAAUGGAUAGUUAACAUGACUGCAGCUCGUCAGUGAGGUAACCAGGCAGGUCUGCUGGGAUCCUUUCUAGGAAAAUAAGAUUUGUAUGCUAACAGAUUUUCCCCUUGUUUCAGUGUCUUCCUGCUUCAAGAUUUGUUUUCAUGCCAUCAUUCACCUCCAGUCAGACGCCUGCCACCUUGGAUCAUUACCCCCCUAUUCACCACCACUGCUGCCCCCCUCAGAGCCUCUUCCUCACUUGCCUGCCUGCCCACCCUUCAGCAGUUUCCACAGACCUCUGCCUUCAUCCUUUACUCCCACCUAGUCUGGACUCCAAAUCUGCCGCCCUCACGCUGUUAUGUCCGCUCCUCUGGCCUGUCUCUCUCACCUCAGUUAAGAUGUUUUUGUAGGACUCGCUCCUUAAGUUUAGGUUCAUUUAUGUUUUGUUCUUGUUGACUGAGUUGAAGCUCACAAUCUGUUGUGUUAAAUAAAUUAUCCUUUGUUUGAAUAAAGAAACUGACUGAUUACA